rnacentral:rRNA from 1 species
AGGAUUCGUCCAAUUGAAAUAGAGGACAGUGGCGGACGGGUGAGUAACGCGUGAGGAACCUGCCUCACACUGGGGGAUAACAGUUAGAAAUGACUGCUAAUACCGCAUAAGCGCACAGUACCGCAUGGUACAGUGUGAAAAACUCCGGUGGUAUGAGAUGGACCCGCGUCUGAUUAGCUGGUUGGUGGGGUAACGGCCUACCAAGGCGACGAUCAGUAGCCGACCUGAGAGGGUGACCGGCCACAUUGGGACUGAGACACGGCCCAAACUCC